CAGUCAGGACCAGAAAUAUUGGAACAAGAGUAACUGUUUUGGCAUUUGGCCUCUGUACACCACCACAUUGAAGUUGAAAGGAAACACACCCAGAUGCGAGCGAAGUCAGGACUUUCAGCUGUCGUUCAAGGGGUUUGACAAAAGUGGGGCACUAACCAUUCAGGAAGUACAGCCAGUGGUAUACACAUACCCCAGUCGUUGGUGGCUCAUAAGUAAUGGAAUGAAUGGCUGACAAGCAGCUGCAUGGCCAGGUGUGGCCUGUUUCCUGGGUACCCCAUGACCAAUCAAGCAGAUAAAAGGCCUGGAGGUGGUUCUGAGUGUUACAUUUGCAUUUGGUAGCUGUUUGCUGAAGUUCUCAACAUGAGGUCCAAAGUGGUGUCCAUGCGAGUGAAGGAAGCCAUCAUUAGUGGCCAAUACAACAGUUUGGAACAUCCUGAAAAAGAAGGAAUUAACUGGCAAGCUCAGCAACAGCAAAAGGCCUGGAAGACCACGGAAGACAACUAAAGUGGAUGACCACAGAAUUCUGCUCAUGGUGAAGAGGAACCCUUUCACGACAUCUAGCCAGGUCAAGAACGCUCUUGAGGAGGUAGGCAUGUCAUUGUCAACAUCUACAGUCAAGAGACGGCUUUAUGAAUGUAAAUACA